rnacentral:rRNA from 1 species
GACGAACGCUGGCGGCGUGCUUAACACAUGCAAGUCGAACGGAAAGGCCCUGCUUUUGUGGGGUGCUCGAGUGGCGAACGGGUGAGUAACACGUGAGUAACCUGCCCUUGACUUUGGGAUAACUUCAGGAAACUGGGGCUAAUACCGGAUAGGAGCUCCUGCUGCAUGGUGGGGGUUGGAAAGUUUCGGCGGUUGGGGAUGGACUCGCGGCUGAUCAGCUUGUUGGUGGGGUAGUGGCUACCAAGGCUUUGACGGGUAGCCGGCCUGAGAGGGUGACCGGCCACAUUGGGACUGAGAUACGGCCCAGACUCCUACGGGAGGCAGCAGUGGGGAAUAUUGCACAAUGGGCGGAAGCCUGAUGCAGCAACGCCGCGUGCGGGAUGACGGCCUUCGGGUUGUAAACCGCUUUCGCCUGUGACGAAGCGUGAGUGACGGUAAUGGGUAAAGAAGCACCGGCUAACUACGUG